UACGUAGGGUGCGAGCGUUAAUCGGAAUUACUGGGCGUAAAGCGUGCGCAGGCGGUUUUGUAAGCCAGAUGUGAAAUCCCCGGGCUUAACCUGGGAACUGCAUUUGUGACUGCAUGGCUAGAGUUUGGCAGAGGGGGGGUAGAAUUCCACGUGUAGCAGUGAAAUGCGUAGAUAUGUGGAGGAACACCGAUGGCGAAGGCAGCCCCCUGGGUCAAGACUGACGCUCAUGCACGAAAGCGUGGGGAGCAAACAGG
rnacentral:rRNA from 1 species